AUCGUGAAAAUAACAUGAAAAUGAGAAAAAAAAAAACUAAGAGAAAAAAAAAAAGGCACUCCUCUCAUCCCUCCCCCUGUUGUGUAGUGUUUGUUGAUCUCGUUCAGCGCGAUUUUUUUUUUUUUUUUUUUUUU
rnacentral:ribozyme from 12 species